UAGGGUCUGGAAACAAACCAUGGAGCCAUGACCACUCUGUGACCGAGGGGACCGGCAGCGGCGUAAGGAGUCUUCCUCUCUAACGCUGGCAACGUCGACACCGCUGGCAAGCUUCUCUCCGAUUGUCCCUGCUCCAGUAAGAGUAGGCGAGGACGAGCCUCCCCCAUCUUGGGUGUUGGUGCCUGACCCAUUUUCUCAAGAGAUGGGCUUCGCUCCGAUACCAGCUGUGACGGAACCUCCCAAGUCAUUAGGCCCACCUACAGUUUCCUUGUCCAACGGACCUCAGAUAACCCUGCAGGUGCACCUGAUUACUUGACAAGUUCGGUAUCUAAAUUCCUUACCUUCCCAAGAGUGUUUUACCCGUCACGCAGACAUUACAAUUCAUUGGAGAUACGGAAAUGCGGAAGCAGUUACAAUAACUUACUUUUAUUGAAAAGUAAGACAGAGUUAAAUAUUUACAGACCAGAAUAUAAUAUAUGAGUGCUGAGUAUUAUUAUUACAAACCAUGGGAGGCAAAAACCCCUCCCGAAUAAGCAGUAAAUAGUUUUUAACGGAGGGCCUUCCCUCCCGCAGCUUUAGUCUUGGUUCUCUUCUUUGGGUACCACCUUUAAACAGAAGCAACAAAAGUUUGUCGCUUCUUCACCUAAAACAACAUGGGACAAAGCCCUAAGUAUGAAGUGUACUUUCGCAAGACUUACCCGACAAAGUAAAAAGACUCUCAAGGUUAUGCUGGCUUUAAGGGAGUCAAGGUAAGGCUUAUCAAUAAUCAAUGACUCUGUUUGCAGAAAUGCUUACUAAAAGUGGAUCCUUAAAAAUCCAAUUUUAAUUGUCAGAUUAAGUAAGAUUACAUGCAUCUAGAGUUUUCUCUACCCUAGUUCAAUCACUUGACCUGCACUAGCCAAUUUCUUAACAACCCUUCAUCUUUAUUGGAUUUCUACGUAUAGGUCAGUGACCAAGUCUUCAUGUCCGUGAAGUUACGGCGGUCUGAAUCGAUUAUACUCAGCUGAGGAUCUCCAAUCACACGACAUAUGUAGCACUUAACCCUUGCAUUUGUCAACUCACCACCGGGGUUCUUAAGACUAGAUCAGGUUCAUGCCAACCGAGAGCACAGAUACACCACCAUCCAGCCUCUUGCCACGGAGGGUACACGCUACUCUCGCCAUCUCUCCACGCCCAUUGUGUGUUAUCUUAUUCUGGUAUUAGUCUGCCCGAGGCAAAGCUUACCCAUGACAAGGCAUGUGACCAGUUAAAGGGUCCUCGGUCAGCAGGCCUACAUCGAGAUGGUCCUUAAUCGACUCAGACGGAGACACUACACCGAGACUCUCUUCUCGUGCAAGCCACCCGCUCGGUCUCAGCUUAAUCAUUUCAAACCCAAAGUUUGGUACUUGUCAGAGGAACACCUUUUUUGAUGUCGAACCCAUCAUGGCCAUGAUGGAUCUGUAACACCCCAGGUGUUACUUAGGGUUUUCACUCAAGACUACACAAGUAAGCCCAUCAUCACAUGUGACUUAAGUUGGGAAAAGUACACCAAAUUUGGAGCUCAAGAUCCUAAGUAAGUGCAACCCAUCCUAGAAGUCAUACCUUGGCUUGUCAUGCACAUAUAAUGGAGAGAAUUGCCCAAACCCUAAUUCAAACCCCUUUGGACAAGUGGAGCACUAGAAGUAAGUAUGAUCAAAAGGCUAUGAAAACCACAUGAUCAUGACUUGGGCCAAUUAUAAAAGAUGUAGUACACUUAAAACCCUACAAAUGAUAGUAAGAAAGUGACCUCAAAAAGAUUUUAGAGAAACCCCAAAAGGUUCACCAAAGGGUUGAGCAUAAAAGGAAAAUCAGAAUUCUUCUAAGUCCAAAACCACCCCUUUUCCAACGAUCAAACAUGUUCACCCUCAUUCAAACUUCAAAACCACUUGGCCCAAUUGACAAAGUGGCGCCAAAAUACCCCUAGAACACCCUGGAAAAGUUUGAACCCAACCCUAAGUCGUUUGACACGACUUGGCAAAAGAUUUGUCUCGGUUUGGACAGCUAGGACAAAGACAACUUCCCACCCUCAUAUCUCUCUAACCCGACCACAUCUCCCCUUGGAACUCACAUGAACUAGGUAGCCCUAGGUGCAGGGAAGAGAUCUCUCAUAGGUCUUAGGGCAAGAUUCGCACGUUUUGGCCGCUCAGUGGAGGGUAGAACCAGAACAGAAGCAAAGAUCCACGUGUUCGUCGCGCUCUGAGCUCGCCAGAGCACGCCCAACGCCCGCCCCCACGUGCCCCGCGUCGCGCCAAAGCCGAGCCAGCGCCGUUGCCCACGCCCGCGCCUAUAAAGCCCUCAGGGACUUCGACUGUACUCCUCCGCACGCGCUCGACCUCACCAGAGCACCAGAUCACCGGCAUUGCCCCGCGCACGGCGUGCCCUCGGCCACCCAAUCACCCACCACCGUAGACCGGCCACCAGAGCCUCUCCCAGCCGCGUCCGACCCUCAGAGUAGACCGUGCAUGCCUCGGUGAAGCUCCCCGAGCAAGGAAUCGAACUUUGCCUUGCCGGAGAAGCCAGUCCACGAUUGCCGGACUUCACCCGACCGCCGGUGAACGUAGACCGAGCUCCACGGUGAGUUAUUUUUCAAUUCCUUGCACGUGUCGACUCAUCAACACCCUGUGAAGCUUCCCGUGCAAUUGGAUUGACUGUAAUCGCCGUGGUUAGGCCGGAACACUCGCCGCCGACGAGUUCACCCGCCUACGCACGUGGACCGGCCGAAUCCGACCACCACCGCCGUCGAGCCGUACCUCGCUGUGACCCCUAGAACCUCCCAGAGCCAACCCCGCCCCUCGCCGGACCUCUCUCGCCGCCGGUAAGCCGCGCCACCCUUUUUCCUUCCGCGGUUACUGUUUUCAUAAGGGGAGGGACCUCGGGGGAGAAGAAGAAAAGGCCAGGGGGUUUUGUGCAUUGUCAGCGACUCAAGGGAAUAGUGGCGCAGGGGUAUAACUGUAGGGAUUAGUUUAGAAAGAACCCAGGGUCUUCGAUGCAAAGUGGAUUUCCAGAAAACCUUUUUAAUAUUCUGAUUUAAAUGAAACCAGAACUUGAGAAAUUCAUAAUUUCAGUUUGAUUCAUCCAAAUCAAGUCAAACCAAUUUUGCUAGAUCCUAAAUAAUAUAAACUACUUAGGAAAAAUAUAAAACCCCUAAGUGUUGCAAAAAACUUUAAAGUUAUGAUUUAAUUGAUUAUCUAGUCAAAACCUAAAGAAAAUAAGGAAAAUAGCUACACUAUUAGACUGGGGUUAAUAAAAUUCAGAGAAGUACUUAAUCACUUCCUAACCUGUUUAAAAAUAAUAAACUCUUCUGUACACCAAAUUAAGGUAGAGUUUGCCAUUUAAAUCAUUUUUAGCCUAAAGUUAGAGAAAAUAUAAAAUGUAGUUUAAAAUAAGAACCAGGGAGCACCCACAUUUUUGUUGGCUCCCUUAUUCAGUGUAGUUCACUAGAAAAAAUUAAUAUACCUUUGUUUGGUACAAAAAAAGGAGAUACCUUUUAAUUUAGAAAAACAAGGAAAAUUUAGACAAAUCCUAGAAAAAUAACCCUG